CCUACGGGAGGCAGCAGUGAGGAAUAUUGGUCAAUGGGCGCAAGCCUGAACCAGCCAAGUCGCGUGAGGGAUGACGGUCCUAUGGAUUGUAAACCUCUUUUGUCGGGGAGCAAGGCCCGCCACGUGUGGCGGGAAGGAGAGUACCCGAAGAAAAAGCAUCGGCUAACUCCGUGCCAGCAGCCGCGGUAAUACGGAGGAUGCGAGAGUUAUCCGGUUUUAUUGGGUUUAAAGGGUGCGUAGGCGGAAGUUUAAGUCAGCGGUAAAAUGUCGGUGCUCAACACCGGCCUGCCGUUGAAACUGGUCUUCUUGAGUGAGCGAGAAGUAUGCGGAAUGCGUGGUGUAGCGGUGAAAUGCAUAGAUAUCACGCAGAACUCCGAUUGCGAAGGCAGCAUACCGGCGCUCAACUGACGCUGAGGCACGAAAGCGUGGGGAUCGAACAGGAUUAGAUACCCCAGUAGUC
rnacentral:rRNA from 1 species